rnacentral:tRNA from 1 species
AAGGGCAUAGCUCAGUGGUAGAGUGCAAGCUUAGUGUGCACAAGGUCCUGGGUUCAAUCCCCAGUACCUCUG